ensembl:lncRNA
GGGUGGGUUUCCACAACCCCAAAGUUCAGAUAGCAACCGUUUGAUAGUUUUAGCGUGACAACUGGAUCUCAUUUAAAUAGUAAACUGAGAUUUUGGAUCUCACUACACUCAAGCCAUUGCCCUUCUUCUCCAGGUCACAAUUACAAUAACAACAGACCGAAUGAUCAAUGACGGAAUUGCAUCAUAUCAGUAUUUCCCAUCGUGCUGCCAUUAAACUGAAUGACCUGCAGUUCUUUUGAAGUCUUCGCUGCAUUGGGUGCUGCUCAAGGAGCCAUUGGGAGGGAGGUUUUUGGAUAAGGUGUCCUUGCACUGUCAACACUUGAAGAAAUCAAAGCCUCCUUUCCCCUUCCUGUGUGAAAACGCCCUGAUGUUUUCAAUUUCCUGGACUUCACACUGUAAGAGAGCACCAAAACAAACAGAGACAGAGCAAACGGGAAUGAAAGACUGCAGUGUUUUGGGGAGCCCGGACUGCACAUGUAAAUUCCUUGUCAGCGGGCUGGAGUGAAGGGUGACAGGUGAGUUGACAGGAGACAAAAGAAAGAGAAGAAAACAGCUGCACUAAAAAAUGGCCUUUAGUCAGACAAAUAAGGGGAUUCCACAUAACAGGUUAAACUCCUAUAUGGACAAUAAUGUUGCAUAUUCUUUCUAAAUCACAAAGGAAAUGUAACAGUACCCACAGUUUAAUAUAAAACUGUUACACGUCAAUUUUCUUCCCAGUUAGUGAAACAAUCACUAUACGACAAGUUGCAUAACAGACUAAAUCUGCUAUUAAUGUAAAAGAAGUCUCAUAAAAACCUGUUGCAUAACAUGUGUUCUUUUCCAGUAUAUUCUUUGAUGUCCCAAAAAUAAUUUGAACCUGUUAAAGAUGAAAACUUCCAGUGAAUGGCAGUGUGCUCGUGGCUAGUUUCCAUCACAGUUCUUCCCUUCCAUACAGGUCCCCUCUUCUUCUUCUUCUUCCAUUCGUUUUAAUAGAUUCACCGAGAAAAAAAAAUAAAAACGAGACCAUUGCUGCUGGCUGGCCAAAAAAAGAAAAGCUUGGCUCAACCUUCUUUGUUCAUUGACUUUCCAUUGCAAAUCCAGCAGGCAUUCUCUCUCAGCUCUCCUUUUCCCUGACCACAGCUAUGGCUUUGGAUACAGCAGCAAGUCUGUCCUUUCUCCUUUUGUGUUUGAAGAUAAUGCCCACUGUUUGAAGUGAAGGGAAUUUAAGGCAAGUUUAAGGAAAAAUCGGGCCUGAAAGAAGAGACCUGUCUAUAUUUGUGACGACUAACAAUGUAAAAUCAAGGCUAGAUUCAAGAAAGAGUUACACAAAAAUACUACAACGUAGGCCUCUUUGAGUUAUUAUUGAUGAAGCAGCUAUAGUUAGUUUUUUUGUUGUUUUUAUUUUAAUUUCUUUCAUUUUGUCACAAAUAGGUGCCCUUGGCAAUCUAGCCUCUAAAGUGUGUUGUCCAUCCUCACAAAUACAGGGGGAAAUAUUUUAAGCUCAAGUCUUAUUUGGGACUAUUUUUUUUAGUUAGAUUCAAAUUAAACUACUUUACUUGUCAACCAGAACGAAUUGAGGGAAACAAUAAAAAUUAGUAUCAAAAUAUCAAGUUUGUUUGUUUUGGGGGUUUCUGUUUUUUGAGAAAAUCUGCAUCAUUAAAAAUGCGCCACCUCCUGAGUGGUCUUCAAAUCUAAGCCAUGAGGCCACAGUUUAAGUAUUUGUCACAGCUAAAAGUCCAAAAGUCAUGCAUGGGUUUGGUCUGUACCGAGUAAAAUCCUGCCACAC